AGUUAUGUGGACGGAAUUGCUUCUCCUGAGAACACCUCUCGCAAAGCUCUGCACCAAACCACGUUAAUCCCUCUGGAGGAACGCAUUGUUUCUCCAGAGACUGACAGUGGGUUUGUGGGCUCUGACAGCAGCAGACUCACACCAGCCAUUCAGACUCCAGAGCAUCAACCCACUCAGAGCAGACUUCAAAACCAAAGGGCAACUUCACUGAAAUCGCUGUGUCAGGAUGAAAAAGCUGCUCUGCGAAGGCAACAGUCUCAGGAAACCC